UGAAAUGAAAUAUUGUUUGACUAUUCUCAGUUGGGUGAAAUAAAAAGAUUGAGGAAGUUUGGUGUGAAUAAGGAAAAAGCUAUGGAAGAUCUAUAAUGAUACAUGUAUGGCAUAUUUUACUAGCUAAAAGCUAUAUUAUGGUCAUGAAGGAAAAAUGGCACCGUUACUGAGCUUCUCUAUAGUUCAUUAUUCUUCUUCAUCUUCAUGGUGAGGAUAAGUGUCCAAUAGUCUUCUCUUCGCUCCGGCUAGGAAACUGGUUGUAAGAAAGCUUCAAAUCAUGCAACUUUUGGAAAGUUCUGGAAGGGAAGGAACUAGAUGUCUAUGAACAGGUCUUGAAGGAUGAGAAUCUGGUAAUAUUGGUUUAUAUUAUGUCUUUAGAGGUUCAUGAGCAGCUGAUUAAGGACAACGACUUGUUUCAUUCUUCCUAUGUUGGGUCCAAUGUCAAUUGAGACAUCGUAGAGAUCUUUGCUGAUCCAAAUGAUUUAGGUCUGGCAUAGCUCCCUUCAUCCCCUCAUUUUAAAGUCAGACUACUUUUCUCUUAUGUGUGUGAAAAAUCUUAUUGCCUUAUCUCAAGAGACCCUAGCUAUAGGACAAUGCUCAACAAAUGUUUGUGGAAAUGUUUCAAAUGAAAUUUCAAUAAUCUUAUAGGUUGAGAA